rnacentral:rRNA from 1 species
ACUCCUACGGGAGGCAGCAGUGGGGAAUAUUGGCACAAUAGGGGGAAGCCCAUCGAUGCAGCCAUGCCGCGCUGUGUGAAGAAGGCCAAUUCGGGCUUUGGUUAAAGACACUUUUCAGUAGGGAGGAAGGUAGUGUAGUUAACACCUGCAUCUUAUUUGACUGUACCUACAGAAGAAGCACCGGCUAACUCCGUGCCAGCAGCCGCGGUAAUACGGAGGGUGCGAGCGUUAAUCGGAAUUACUGGGCGUAAAGCGCAUGCAGGCGGCCUGUUAAGUCAGAUGUGAAAGCCCGGGGCUUAACCUCGGAAUUGCAUUUGAAACUGGCAGGCUAGAGUCUUGUAGAGGGGGGUAGAAUUUCAGGUGUAGCGGUGAAAUGCGUAGAGAUCUGAAGGAAUACCAGUGGCGAAGGCGGCCCCCCUGGACAAAGACUGACGCUCAGAUGCGAAAGCGUGGGGAGCAAACAGGAUUAGAU